CUCCCAUAGCAGAAAAAGGAUUUUUGAGGGCUGGGGAUUUAGCUCAGUGGAUCUGGCACCUGCCUCACAGCGCAAGGACCUGAGUUCGAUCCCCGGUACCAAAAAAAGGGAUUUUUGAGACUACUCAGCAAGAGGUUUGAUUCCAAGACCCUAGAACCACGUUGGAAGGGACCGGUUCCUGUUGUCCUGUCAACUCCCUUGGCAGUGAAGAUAGCUGGACAUUCUGCCUGGAAACAUCGCAACCAUCUGAAGGCAGGACCCCCUGCGGAUGUCACGAAGGACAAAUGGAAGGUUAUCAGCCAACCAGGUGACCGAAAGCUGAGACUGGGGAGGGUUGGAGAUAUUUCUCAUUCAUGAUAAUAUUCUCUGGGACACUGGCGGUACUGCCCCCAAGAAAAUUGGACCACACUGGAAAUGUAUGGUUCAACUGGCAAAAUCACUUAAUCUGUCUGAAUUCUGUCUAAAUAUAGAUGUAAAUUUCCAUUAUGUAUUAGGAAGCUGUCUCAUUCCAGUGUGUACCCCUUUAAGUUUAAUACGGCCCUAUACCCUGUUUAAGGAUAUCCCAGGGAAAAAAAUCUCACUUUAUAAAGAUAGUUACAAUUGGGGCAUUCCUCAUGUCAUAAACCUAAAAAUGCUGACAAAUUAUAUACACCCAGGAUAAUUAUGUCAAAUAAUACCCAACGUGCUAUAUAUGUAAAUUGUACAACCAAGUGUCUGAGAAUAAAACGAUCUGAAGGGAUGCCCUGCCAUAUAAAACAGAAAAUUGUGUAUAACAAUUGCCAUAUCUCCCUGCCGACAGGAUGGUUUUAUACCUGUGAAGGAAUAACUUUCAAUUAUAUUCCAGCCAAUUUAACCAAGACCCAUUGCAGCUUGAGUCGUCUAGCUGUAGUUUUACCAGAUAAAACUGAUUUGAUUAUGCCAAAUAGAACUAAAUGCUGGUCGCCUUAUACUGCGCCAGGAUGUGAUGAUGAUGUAAGUCUUUUGACAGAUGCUAAAGUGAUAUCUAUGAUAGCAUCUUUUGUUGCUCUGCCUUCCAUAGGAGUCCAUGCUGAAAAGGUGGUAUGAAAAUUAGCUUGCAAG
rnacentral:lncRNA from 1 species